UAAAAUUUUAAUUAAUUUUUAUAAUAUUAUUUUUAGUAUUAUUCUCUAGAUAAUAAAUAUUUAUAUAUGAAAUAAACUUAUAUAUUUUUAAUAUUUUCUAAUAUUUAAUUAUAAAAUAAAUUAUAAAUAACAAAUAAUAUUAAUAUAUGAAAAAAAUAAAUAUUAUAUGUUUUUAAAUUAAAUUUACAAUUAAAAAUAUAAUAUUUUUUUUAACAACAUCUUAAACUAUAUAUAUUUUAAAUCUUAUAAGAUUUAUUAUGUAAGCUUGCGAUAAUAAUAACACAAAAUUCAAAAGCGAUGAUUCUUGGAAGAUUCGGAUAACAGUAUAAAACAGAAAUAUCAAAAUAACUGACCUCACUGGUUAUUUACAAAACGUUUAUGCAGCUAGUUAGAAAAAUCUGAUCACAAUGCUGCCAAAUAGCGACACUGAUGAAAGUAAUUUUUCACGCAUGCGCAAUUAUUAUGAUUCAACUUCAUUAUAUUAUAAAGCAAAUACUUUUAUACAAUUUUUAUAAAAGUAUGUUACUAAUAGAUGUUUAAAUUAAGAUUAGUUAUUGCUAUUAAUAUUUGUAAGAAUAAUUAUUAAAUAGUACAUUAAUAUAUAAUUUGAAUAAUAUUUCUAAUAUAAAAAUAAAAGAUAAUAUAAUAUAUAUAAAAUAAAAGAUAAUAUUAAUGAACUAAUGUGCGAAAAAUAAUAUUUACUAUAAUUUUACUAAUAAUUGAGAUGUAUGUAUCUUUUUAAGUAAAAUGUGAUAAAAAGAAGAAAAAAAAAUAUUUUUAUGAAAAAUAUUAUUUUCUACUUCGUAAAUACAUAUAAUAAAAAUUAUUAAUUAAAAAUUAAAAAUCUCAUACAAACUUUCAUAGACAUUUUACUAUAAUGCAACAUAUGAAAAUAUGUAAGUAUGAAAUAUAUAAAUAUAUGAUCAAUAAAAUAAACUUA